CUCUUACAGUGCCCGGACUCUUUAGUUGAGGCACAUGGGCUUAGUUUCAGCUCAUAAACUUCGCUAUUCCUUGACAUGUGGAAUCUUAGUUACCCGACCAGGUAUCAAAAUUGCAUCCCCUGCAUUCCUGCUGCUGCUGCUGCAAAGUCGCUUCAGUUGUGUCCUACUCUGUGCAACCCCAUAGACGACAGCCCGCCAGGCUCCCCUGUCCCUGGGAUUCUCCAGAUUUCAAGAAGGCUGCUGUGCCUCUGUCCAUCACAUCUGUGUUCCAGGCAGAACAUGAAGGUAAAUGCAAAAGGCUGAAGAAUAUCAGCUGAGUCUAUCUCUUUAAAAAAAAAGAAGAAGAAGAAUUUUUCUGCAUGCAGGAUUUUGUUCCUUGAUCAGGCAUUGAAUCCAUCCCCCCUGCAUUGGGAGCUCAGAGCCUUAGCCACUGGACCACCAGGU
ensembl:lncRNA